AACGCACAUUGCGCCUGCCAGCAUUCUGGCAGGCAUGCCUGUCCGAGCGUCAUUUCCCCCCUCACGCGCCCCGUUGCGCGCUGGUGUUGGGGCCCCUCCGCCUGGCGGAGGGCCCUGAAAGCGAGUGGCGGGCCUGGCUGGUUGGCUCCGAGCGCAGUACCGAACGCACCGUUCCCCCCUCGCUCGCGGCCCCGCCGGCGCCCUGCCGUCAAAGCCACAGCGCCCCUCGCGUGCGCUGCCCUUGCAAGGUUGACCUCGGAUCAGGUAGGACUACCCGCUGAACUUAA
rnacentral:misc_RNA from 1 species